GUCGUGGUCAGCUAUGGAGCAUGCGCACUGGGAGCGAUAUCCGGAAUGAAAUGGUUCUCCAUGAGAGCCACAAGCGAACAUUCAACAACUUGAAAACUGGAUUGAAAAUGAGAGACAGAGCAGCCACUGCAGAAGCUUCCAAAAUCACUCUGCAGCUCCUUGAACUGCUGCAAUCCACGUGGUGAAGUAGCUCCCAUGUUGCAAUUUGGUUGAUGACAUCCUUCGAAGAACAGGAGAUCUGAAGUGGACACAUUACUCCAGAAGAGGCCCCACUGAUGUUCUGCACAAUUUCAACAUAACGUCCCACCUCCGAUACUCAAAAGGUCUGAGCAGUGAAGGCAAGCUGGCCAAACACCGACUUAACCACCCUUUCGACAUGUGACGCCAACCUCAAAGAAUUAUGGGCCUGAACCCUGAGGUCUCUCUGUUCGACAACACUAAUCCCAAGGCCCUACAUUUAAUUGUACAAAUACUGAUCUUGUUUGUUUUACCAAAAUGAAAUACCUCGCCUCUAUCCAAAUUAAACACCACCUGCCAUUCCUCAGCCUCUUAACACUAUAAAUCAAGCUCUCUUUGUAAUCUUGGACAGCCUACUUCGCUGUCCACUAUCCUGCCUAUUUUGGUGUCAUCUGCAAACUUCCUAACCAUGUCUCCACGAUUCUCAUCUAAUUCACUUUUUUUUUAUAUCAAGCCAAACAAAAUUGGACUAAGCACUGACCCCUAUGGAACACCUUUGGGAACAGGCCUUCGGUCUGAUAAACAAUCCUCCACCAAGAGUUCCUGUGUCCUGUCAUUUAGCCAAAUUUAUAUCCAGUUGGCAAGUUCCCCCUGAAUCCCGUAUGAUCUAUCUUUUCUAAUUAGUCCACCUUGUGGAACCUUGUCAAAGGCCUUACUCUUGUCAAAAUAAAUUACGUCCACCACUCUGCCCUCAAUAAUCUUCUUUGUUACUUCUCCAAAAAACUCAAUCAACUAAUCAUUCCUUGACUCUCCAAAUACAUAAAUCCUACCUUUCACAAUUACCUUCAACUGCAUAACAAAAACCGAAGUCAGACUCACAGGUUUAUAGUUCCCAAGCUUCUCCUUAUGUCCCUUAAACGAAGGCACAAUUUAGCCACUCUCCAGUCAUCUGGCACCUCACCCGUAAUUAUAGAUGAUACAAAUAUUUCUGCAAAGGGGCCCCCAAGUUUUCUCUUCAACUUCCCACAACAUGGUUUGAUGCACUAGAGCAGGACCUGGAGGUUUAAAGUCACAGUGUAACACAGCAUGGAAACAGGCCCUUUGGCCUAAACUGGUCAGUGCUGACUAUUGGUGCCCACUCAGCAAGUUCUAAUUUCCUGCAUUUGGUCCAUGUCCCCCUCCAAACACUUUCCAUCCAUGUACCUACCCAAAUGUGUUUUAAACGUUGCUAUUGUCCCUGUCUCAAACACUUUCUCUGGCAGCCCAUUCCAAAUAUGCACCACUGUCUGUGUGAAGAAGCUGCUCCUCACAUCCUCCUUCAAUCUGCCCCCUCUCACCUUAAAUCUAUACACUCUAGUUUUCUAUUCCCCAUCCCUGGGAAAAAGACUAUGUGCAUUCAUCCUAUCUAUGCCCCUCAUGAUUUUAUUCACGUCAGUAAGGUCAGCCCUCAUUCUCCUCCAUUCCAAGGAAUAAAGUCCAAUCCUGGCCAACCUCCCCUGAGAACUUGCAUACUGUUCCUGGCAACAUCCUCGUAACUCUUCUUUGCACAUUUUCCAGUUUAA